CGUCUUCAGGGCGGGGUGGAAUUCCCCACCGGCGGUAGGCGGACCUCGCGUCAAUGCGGUCCGCGAGCCCGCGAGCGCUUCGCAUGCGCCUGCAUGCAAAGGUCAGCAGAUCCGGUGAGAUGCCGGGGCCGACGGUCAGAGUCCGGAUGGAAGAAGAUG
rnacentral:ncRNA from 1 species